rnacentral:tRNA from 1 species
GCAGUCGUGGCCGAGUGGUUAAGACGUCUGAUUCGAAACCUGAUUCCCCUCGGAGCGUAGGUUCGAAUCCUACCGGCUGCG